UACGUAGGGUGCAAGCGUUGUCCGGAAUUAUUGGGCGUAAAGAGCUCGUAGGCGGUCUGUCGCGUCGGCUGUGAAAACCCGGAGCUCAACUCCGGGCCUGCAGUCGAUACGGGCAGACUGGAGUUCGGCAGGGGAGACUGGAAUUCCUGGUGUAGCGGUGAAAUGCGCAGAUAUCAGGAGGAACACCGGUGGCGAAGGCAGAUCUCUGGGCCGUAACUGACGCUGAGGAGCGAAAGCAUGGGGAGCGAACAGG
rnacentral:rRNA from 1 species